CAGUAGCCGCGGUAAUACAAAGGGUGCAAGCGUUAAUCGGAAUUACUGGGCGUAAAGCGCGCGUAGGUGGUUUGGUAAGAUGGAUGUGAAAUCCCCGGGCUCAACCUGGGAACUGCAUCCAUAACUGCCUGACUAGAGUACGGUAGAGGGUGGUGGAAUUUCCUGUGUAGCGGUGAAAUGCGUAGAUAUAGGAAGGAACACCAGUGGCGAAGGCGACCACCUGGACUGAUACUGACACUGAGGUGCGAAAGCGUGGGGAGCAAACAGGAUUAGAUACCCCCGUAGUCCCUGUCUCUUAUAC
rnacentral:rRNA from 1 species